UCCCAAGGCGGCGGGGGUCCCCGGGGCGCUGCGUCCCUCGGAGCCCCGGAGAGCUGCAGGGCGGGUCUUUGUCGCGUUGAGACAAAGCCGCUGAACCUGGGCUCUCGCCUGUGCAGGUGCGCGGGCUCGUUCGCGGGAGGCGUGCGCUGGGGGAGCGGGCUUCCUGCACGAGGUCACCGCUCAGGGGUUGAUUGGACGGAAUCUCGCGACACCCCAGGCACUGGCGCUUGUGCCGGAUCCACGUGAGAGUUCUCCGGGUUUGCUUUUAUGAGGUUUUGGGGUUUUUUAAUAUUUGGUCGAGUAAUUUGCUGUUUGGCAUCUUGGUCCACCAUCCCAUAGUUACGUAAAAAGUUGCACGUGGAAUUCACUACGUAGACUUAGAAACUUAAGCUAUUUUAGAACAAGGGACUGCUUUCCUAAUCAUGUAACAGAGCACAUCCUAACCUGAUACCAGGCAGACGCUGUUUGGUGUGGGGAAGGGAGGUCUUACCGUGGUACCUGAGUUCACUCAGCUGCCAGCCCCUCCCUGGGUCUGUGAGAACUCCCGGCUGCGGUGUGAGGGACCAGCCUUCCAGCGCUGGCUGCCCAGCGUUUACACGGUGGUGAGAUCCCGACCCACACCAUGUCCUGCAUGAGCCGCGGUCACUGAGCGCUUCACCUGGAUUCUCUUAGACUUGUUGGAAGGAGGACUCUUGGAGACUCAAAAAGGCAAAUGUAUUUCCAUGAAUAGAAAUAUAAUCCAACAUAUCUCUUCUGGGCCCAAUUUAGUUUGCAUUAUCAUUUUUUUAUUGCGUAGGUUUCUGGCCUUGGUGGGAAGCUAGCUGUGAGUGAAGAUGUGCUGAAAUUUCACAAAAGUAUGGGAAAGGUGGUAGAAAUUGAAACGCAGUCAUUUUUUUUUUCCUUCAGAUUUUCACCAUUAAAAUGGUGAAUUAAAUGUUCAUGCUGGUUCAUCCUUUCCCAUGAUGGAGUGUGCACAGAACCCUGAUUUGCAGCUCUGCUGUUUCUCUCUGUUUAUUGAAAGCAUCUACCUCACAGGACUGCCAGUACUGGAGCAUUACCCUAACUGGCCAUGAAUACAACUAUUGACAGGACAGAGGAUUAUGGAUUUUUGCAUCUCCAGCUCCAUACGUGGAUUCUGUGAGAUGGUCCCCCAUUUGCCCCGCACCGUUUGGUGAAUGCUCCAUGUUUUCUCCGUCGACAUGAAACGCCUCCCAGGAGAUUCUUGGGCAGACUUCAUGGCUUCUGAGCUGAGCUUGUGGUGACAGUGGUUCCUCUUUGUGAAACCUCUCCAGGCAGGCAGAGACCUCAAACACGCCACUGAGAGCUGCAAACAAGUCAAACCUGCACCAGUACCGGCGUAUGUGAGGUCUCCAAAUUGCAGCCUGGAAUGAUGUGAGCGCAUGAUUCCCAUCUAGUUGGUUUCUCCACUCCACAUACCGUCUCUCCAAUAAAGUCAGGAGGUGACAGGGAAUAGUCACAUGGUUUUGGUUGUUUGUUUUGCAGACUUUACUCCGUCAACAUGUGAGGAAGACCUGAACUUAAUAUUUGCAAAGCACUUUGAACUACGGAGAAGAAAGGUGCUAUGUAAUCCUCGUGUUAUCUUUUAGAUUUUGAGCAUGUUACUGUGACAUCAGCAUCCUAGGCUUAAUGAAGUUUUAUUUCAGCUAAUAUAAGUUCAUCCUUCUGUGUUCAACUAGCUGUGAAACCAAGCCACUGGGUGUGGAUUAUGAGGGCUGAAGCUUUGGGGAGUGCGGUGAAAUUUUUCAGAAUUCGUGAUAGCAUAUAAGACCACUGAAGCCGGUUUACCUGCCUUCUAUCUACAAGGAUGCUUUUUAAACUAGGACACACGUCUAUUGUUCAGUGAUAAUUAUAGUGAUAAUGCUGACACCAAGAUACUGCAAAAUCCUGCUGCACCUUUUGAAUUAAGUUCUGAAUCAUCAAAAAUAAUUAUAAUAUAAUUUAA